rnacentral:rRNA from 1 species
GAUGAACGCUGGCGGCGUGCCUAAUACAUGCAAGUCGAGCGAACAGACGAGGAGCUUGCUCCUCUGACGUUAGCGGCGGACGGGUGAGAAACACGUGGAUAACCUACCUAUAAGACUGGGAUAACUUCGGGAAACCGGAGCUAAUACCGGAUGAUAUAUUGAACCGCAUGGUUCAAUAGUGAAAGACGGUUUUGCUGUCACUUAUAGAUGGAUCCGCGCCGCAUUAGCUAGUUGGUAAGGUAACGGCUUACCAAGGCGACGAUGCGUAGCCGACCUGAGAGGGUGAUCGGCCACACUGGAACUGAGACACGGUCCAGACUCCUACGGGAGGCAGCAGUAGGGAAUCUUCCGCAAUGGGCGAAAGCCUGACGGAGCAACGCCGCGUGAGUGAUGAAGGUCUUCGGAUCGUAAAACUCUGUUAUUAGGGAAGAACAAAUGUGUAAGUAACUAUGCACGUCUUGACGGUACCUAAUCAGAAAGCCACGGCUAACUACGUG